AUUGAACGCUGGCGGCAGGCCUCACACAUGCAAGUCGAGCGAGCGGCGGACGGGUGAGUAAUGUCUGGGAAACUGCCUGAUGGAGGGGGAUAACUACUGGAAACGGUAGCUAAUACAGCAUCCCAUCAGAUGUGCCCCGAUGGGAUUAGCGAGUAGGUGGGGUAAUGGCUCACCUAGGCGACGAUCCCUCGCUGGUCUGAGAGGAUGACCAGCAACACUGGAACGGAGACACGGUCCAGACUCCUACGGGAGGCAGCAGUGGGGAAUAGUGCACAAUGGGCGCAAGCCUGAUGCAGCCAGGCCGCGUGUGUGAAGAAGGCCUUCGGGUUGUAAAGCACUUUCAGCGGGGAGGCGUUACCCGCAGAAGAAGCACCGGCUAACUCCGUGCCAGCAGCCGCGGUAAUUC
rnacentral:rRNA from 1 species